AGAGUUUUGAUCAUGGCUCAGAUUGAACGCUGGCGGCAGGCUUAACACAUGCAAGUCGAGCGGUAACAGGGGUAGCUUGCUACCCGCUGACGAGCGGCGGACGGGUGAGUAAUGCUUAGGAAUCUGCCCAGUAGUGGGGGAUAGCCCGGGGAAACCCGGAUUAAUACCGCAUACGUCCUACGGGAGAAAGCAGGGGAUCUUCGGACCUUGCGCUAUUGGAUGAGCCUAAGUCGGAUUAGCUAGUUGGUGGGGUAAAGGCCUACCAAGGCGACGAUCCGUAGCUGGUCUGAGAGGAUGAUCAGCCACAUCGGGACUGAGACACGGCCCGAACUCCUACGGGAGGCAGCAGUGGGGAAUAUUGGACAAUGGGGGCAACCCUGAUCCAGCCAUGCCGCGUGUGUGAAGAAGGCUUUCGGGUUGUAAAGCACUUUCAGUAGGGAGGAAAACCUUAUGGCUAAUACCCAUGAGGCUUGACGUUACCUACAGAAGAAGCACCGGCUAACUCCGUGCCAGCAGCCGCGGUAAUACGGAGGGUGCAAGCGUUAAUCGGAAUUACUGGGCGUAAAGCGCGCGUAGGUGGUUUGGUAAGCGAGAUGUGAAAGCCCCGGGCUUAACCUGGGAACGGCAUUUCGAACUGUCAGACUAGAGUGUGGUAGAGGGUAGUGGAAUUUCCUGUGUAGCGGUGAAAUGCGUAGAUAUAGGAAGGAACACCAGUGGCGAAGGCGGCUACCUGGACCAACACUGACACUGAGGUG
rnacentral:rRNA from 1 species